UCCCAUGCUUCUGACUUGCAGUGUCUCAGUUCUCCUCCAACACAGUGUGCUUUGCUCUUCCCUGGGCUGGCUAGAUCCACCUUGCCCUGUUCUAACUGCAAAGUCCAAGCGGAUGAGCAGUGGGCAGCUUGUGUCCUACCUGCCCCAGUGCUCUUGGCAAAGAGCAGCUUGCUCACCUGGCAUCCGCAUCGCCAAGAGCUCUGCGAUUACAUCGUUGGAGAUCCGGAGAGCUGUCUGCCUGCUCGCUGUGCCUCCCUUGGUGAAGUUUGGUGCUUUGGCUGUCUACCUGGUCUCUGCAGGUGAAAUCUGAAAGCCUUAAGGAUGUUAUUGAGAAUGCAGCGAGUAGCAAAGGAACUUCCUGGGACAUCUUGGAGCUGCGGUUUACACAUACGUUAUACCCUAGGGUGAAAAAAUGUGUUGUAGUUUGCAUUUUGUCUUGAAAUCACUCUUCUUGCAGUACAGGUUAAUGUAAAUUGCAAAUAUAGGCAUCUGUUCACCGUGUUCAAAGUGAUAACACAUUUAUCUUUGUAAGAGAUAUGGGAAAAGAAGGGAAUGACAAAUCACACUUAAGCAUGUGCUGUGGUUUCCUUCCUAAAAUUCUGUCUGCUGGUAGCUUCAGCUGGACCUUCUGUCUAUGCAUGCUGUUGUAGUGGACCUGCUCACUGUUUAGAGCUGAUUUCCACUGAGCCUUUUCCAAUGGAUCCAGGUGGUUUUAUUCUAUUCUUUAUUUUAUUUAAGAACUACAGGCUAUUUCAGUUUAGAAGGGCCAUCAGGAGGUCUCCAAUCCAAUUUUUUGUUCAAAGCAGAGUCAGUCUUGAGCUCAGACCACAUUACUCAAGACUUUAUCCAGUUGCUUUGUGAAACAUCCAAGGUCAGAAAGUGCACAACCUCUCUGGGCAGCCUGUACCCGUGCCUGAUUGCCCUCCCACUGGCUCAGUUCCUCUUUAGACCCAACUUGCACUUGUACAGCUGAUGCCCGUUGGCCCUUUCCCUCUGGUUGGGCUCUGCCAUCCAAAGCCUGGUUCUGUUGUUCAAGUCAGUGUUGGUUUACUUAGAGAUGCAGUUAUCUUCUUGCUACCAUGUGGAUAUUUGUCUGAAGUCCUUCUGUUAGCAGAUGGACUUGGUACAAAGAGAGAGAAAUGGUGUGGCUCCCCGUUAGUUCUAUUUGAGAGCAGAUGUGAUAUAUGCUCUUCUGAGGAUGACAAGGUCGAAACGAUGGAUGCUCGGUUACAUUUUGAACAGACUGUAACAGUGAGAUAAGGAGAAACAGCUCAUGGCUGAGGUCGGGACUUGCAUUGAUUCUUCAGGAUGCCAAAUCUGCAGAAUCUGGAGGUGUGAAUGAAGGUGAAACAGAAGUUAGAUGUGUAUUGAAGCUUCAUUGUGGAUCACUAUCAGAAAAGGUUUGCAUUUUGCCAGUUAUUUUCCAGCUGAAUUUUUAACCUGCUGAGGUAGCAGAUGGGCUUAUUGUAUCCAACUCCUUUAAGACAUUUUAGGAACUUUAACAGAUGGAUGUGUUCUGAAAUUCAACAGCAUCUCCUUCAGCAUCUGCAAUGUCAUUGUUUCACAUCUCAGCCAGGGUGCGAGUGACCAGAGCAUCUGAGAGAAGCUUCAGCCAGAUCUUCUUUGGAAGUAAUAAAGCAUAGAGGGCUGUGUGGUGUUUCAUCGCUGACACUCUUGGAAAAUAUUCCAUGCACCAAGAGGUGCAUUAUUGAAAAUCAUAUGAUAGGACAUGUAAGGUAAAUGCAAUGCGAUCAGAUCUUAGUACUGUAGCUUUUAACAAGUUCAAUUUAAAAAAAAAUCAGAUAAAAUUUGGGUGACAGGAAACCUUAAGAUAGAAUAAUAUGCUGCACUUAAAAAAAGUUAAACUAAAUAUUGAGAUACAACAUUAAGCGUGAUCUCCUUUAUUUGUUAUGAAACCAAAAUAAUAGGACAACGUUCACUGAUUUGUGUUGUGAUAUUUGGGUGACUGAUGUUUUAAAAGCUUGAAAAAUCUCUAGUAAAUGAGUAGGAGUGUCAGUUAUUAGUUUGCUGAUGGGAGAACAAAGAACACAUCAGAACAUUUGAGAAGAGGAACUUGGGUUUAGCAUGCAUGAAGUUACUUUGCAGUAGGGCCAUUAGUGUACCCCUAAUUUUUACCUUCUGAGGAUGUGCUUCUAUUUUGUCUAAGCAUUAAAACAGGACAAAUCUUUCUUUAAAGGAGCUCUGGAGGCUGGCAGCAUUCAUAUUAGUGCACUGUGUUAAGUCCUUUCGGCGCUUACUUGUAUGUCACUAAGAACAACCCACGUUUUUAUACACGUUUUGCUAAUAUAGGAAAAGAUGGUGCUUGUAAUGUUGCAAUUAAUCAAUCUGACACCGCAUUGCAAGUGACCUCCAGCAGUGAAAUGCUCCUGAGUGGCUGCCCUGUGGGAAUGCUCAUUUUGGGCUUCUGGGGAAGAGUGGAUGCCUGCGGACUGGGAAGGCCAGGGCAUUGGAUUUGGUUGCAAAGCAUACUUGGCAAAGCCUGCAAGCGUGGGCUGCUAUUUGUGUUUCUUUGAGAUCUAGCUGGCAGUUGGUGAGCACUGCGAGCAGAGCUUCUGUGGUUCCAGAACUGCAUUGCGCCUCAUCUGCUGAACAGCGUGCGUGGGUUCAGGAAAUCAGAGGGCUAUUUUAAUGCAAGUUCACUGGGAAUGUGCACUGAUGGGAAGGAAGAAAAUGUGAAUAUAGGACAGGGCUGGAUCAGCGGUUUAAAUAAGAUGGAUAAAUACCUAUAAUCUGGAAAUCAACUUCUGACGUUGGCUGUAGUGAAACCGUAUUGAUUUAGAGGUGAGAAUGUGACACAAUGUUUUCUUUCAGCAGUGGUUAUCUAGUCUUCACAAAACAGCCAAAGAUGUUGUCUUAGCUUUUCCAAAUACAUGAAGCGUUGGACAAUGUCAAAUCAGGCAUAAAAUAAUAUAUGAAUAUUAGUACUAAUAACCUUCAGGAAACAAAGGAAAGAUGACUAAGAAUA